GGCUUCCCCGGGGGAAACCCCUUGGGGCGGAUCACGCGGUAUCAGCCAGUGGCCUCCCUGGAGGAUACAAGGAUCGCUCUGCGCCGGGGGCGGGCCAGUAAUCGUAGGCGGGGCGCGGGUCCAGAGCUCCGAUUGGCCAGAGUCGGAGUAAACAUCCGGCGGGACGGGGCGGGGCCGGAAGUGGAAGUAGAAGGCGGUGGCUGAGGCGGUUCCGGAGGUUCUAGUGUCGGAGUUGGUGCAGGCAGGUGCCAUGGGCCGGCUUGAGGCACACUGAGGGGACGCGGGGCUGGGCCAUGGCCGGCGCUCGGGCCGCCGCCGCCGCUGCCUCGGCGGGGUCCUCGGCCUCUUCAGGCAACCAGCCGCCGCAGGAGCCGGGGCUUGGGGAGCUGCUGGAGGAGUUCUCCCGGACUCAGUACCGGGCCAAGGAUGGCAGCGGGACCGGCGGCUCUAAGGUUGAGCGCAUUGAGAAGAGAUGUCUGGAGCUGUUUGGCCGAGACUACUGUUUCAGCGUGAUCCCAAACACGAAUGGGGAUAUCUGUGGCCACUAUCCCCGGCACAUCGUGUUCCUGGAGUAUGAGAGUUCUGAGAAGGAGAAAGACACGUUUGAGAGUACCGUACAGGUGAGCAAGUUGCAAGACCUCAUCCACCGCAGCAAGAUGGCCCGGUGCAGAGGACGGUUUGUCUGCCCAGUAAUCCUGUUCAAGGGCAAGCACAUUUGCAGGUCGGCCACACUGGCUGGAUGGGGAGAGCUGUAUGGACGCUCAGGCUACAACUAUUUUUUCUCAGGGGGUGCAGAUGAUGCCUGGGCAGAUGUGGAGGACGUCACGGAGGAGGACUGUGCUCUUCGAAGUGGUGACACGCAUCUUUUUGAUAAGGUCAGAGGCUAUGACAUCAAGCUGCUUCGAUACCUGUCAGUCAAAUACAUCUGUGACCUGAUGGUGGAGAACAAGAAGGUGAAGUUUGGCAUGAAUGUAACCUCCUCUGAGAAGGUGGACAAAGCCCAGCGCUAUGCCGACUUCACUCUCCUCUCCAUCCCGUAUCCAGGCUGUGAAUUUUUCAAGGAAUAUAAAGAUCGGGAUUACAUGGCAGAAGGGCUCAUAUUUAACUGGAAGCAGGACUACGUUGAUGCCCCAUUGAGCAUCCCCGACUUCCUGACUCACUCUCUGAACAUUGACUGGAGCCAGUAUCAGUGUUGGGAUCUGGUGCAACAAACACAAAACUACCUGAAGCUGCUGCUUUCCUUAGUUAACAGUGAUGAUGACAGCGGGCUGCUGGUACACUGUAUCUCAGGCUGGGAUCGGACCCCCCUCUUCAUCUCCCUCCUGCGCCUUUCCUUGUGGGCUGAUGGGCUCAUCCACACGUCCCUGAAGCCCACUGAGAUCCUCUACCUCACUGUGGCCUAUGACUGGUUCCUCUUCGGGCACAUGUUGGUAGAUCGGCUCAGCAAAGGGGAGGAGAUUUUCUUCUUCUGCUUCAAUUUUUUGAAGCAUAUUACCUCCGAGGAGUUCUCUGCUCUGAAGACCCAGAGGAGGAAGAGUUUGCCAGCCCGGGAUGGAGGCUUCACCCUGGAAGACAUCUGCAUGCUGAGACGAAAGGACCGUGGCAGCACCACCAGCCUUGGCAGCGACUUCUCCCUGGUCAUGGAGAGUUCCCCAGGAGCCACUGGGAGCUUCACCUAUGAGGCCGUGGAGCUGGUCCCAGCAGGAGCGCCAACUCAGGCAGCUUGGAGGAAGAGCCACUCAUCCUCUCCACAGAGUGUCCUCUGGAACCGGCCACAACCCUCAGAGGACCGCUUGCCUUCCCAUCAGGGGCUGGCGGAAGCCAGGUCUUCCAGCUCCUCUUCCUCAAACCAUUCUGAUAACUUUUUCAGGAUGGGUAGCAGUCCCCUGGAGGUCCCCAAACCCAGGAGCUGAAUGGUCACUUUGUAGCCCUUCCUUUGACAAAGGCCUCACGUAGGAAGACUCCUUUGUAGCCAGUGUGCUCACUCUUGAAAAAUCCCAGAGUCUGCAGAAGAUGGCUGCUUGCUGAGAGAUGCUUCUGUCCCCUGGGAUCACACACCCUGCUGCUGUCUGUGCUGCCUAAUCCAUCCGACAGCUGCUAUCAGUGGACCAUCCCCUGCCCGGAUCCUCUCUCUCCACAGACUAUGGCAGCUGGCAGAUGGUAACGGGCUGUGGCAGUAUUCAGGAGCGGGCUGUCCUGCACACAGACUCCUCUCUCCCUUUCAGCUUCCCGGAUGAGCUCCCUAACAGUUGUCUGCUUGCAGCCCUGAGUGAUCGAGAGACUCGGCUGCAGGAGGUGCGCUCAGCCUUCUUGGCUGCGUACAGCAGCACAGUGGGGCUUCGGGCAGUAGCCCCCAGUCCUUCCGGUGCCAUCGGGGGCCUGCUGGAGCAAUUUGCCCGUGGUGUUGGACUCCGGGGCAUCAGCAGCAAUGCCUUGUGAAGAAGCCAGCCCAUGACAUUUUCCUGCUCCUCUCUCAGCUGAGCCCUUAGCAGAAUCAAAGCCAUGCCUGGCCAAAGGGGUACUUCCAGGUCAGGGGAAAUUUCAGUCCCCCAUCUCCAUCAUGUACAUGGCAGCCCCAAAGCUGAGCAAGGCCAAAGACAGGGUUUUCCAACCCCCAGCCUCUUGACUGGUGACCACCACCCCUUCUUGUCACUGUCUCCCACCCACCCCAUCUUUGCUGGGAUUCCCAUCAACUCUCAGAACUGUGUGGGGUUUCCCUGGGGCCUUGUGGAAGCCAUGACUUCACAAAGACCCUACCUGUCAAUUCUUGUUUCUGGGGAGGAGGGAUCACCUGCACUGAGAAUGAGGCAGUUUGACACAGAUCACAAAAUAAAAUCAAAGUCUUUUUGAAUAGCCA